rnacentral:rRNA from 1 species
AUGGGUUGGAACAUGAGGGGUCUGAAUUCUCCGGCAAGAAGAUCCACUAUCCAGGAACUAGCUGAAUCUCACAGGACCAGCAUCUUCUGCCUUUAGGAGACAAAGCUUGAAUCCUGGUCUGCAAAAAUUGUGCGCGAGCUGGGUGGGCGCACCCUGGACGGCUGCGCAGUCCUACCGGCCAUGGGGACCCACGGCAGCACGGCGAUCUUGUGGAACAAGCAGCUGCUAGACCUGACCACGCAUGCUAUUGGUGUUUUCUCAAUCACGGCCAAGGUUUCAGUUAUUCAGAGCAGCUGCUUGUUCUGGCUGACGACGGUGUACGGCCCUAUCGACGACGCCCUCAAAGACUCCUUCCUGGCAGAGCUGGUUCAUGUGGCUCCACCACCGGGACAACAAUGGCCGAUCAAUGGCGAUUUUAACAUCAUCUACGAAGCCCGAGACAAGAGCAACCUCAAUCUGAACAGAAGGACCAUGGGGCAGUUCAGAAGAGCAAUCAACUUCAUGGGUCUGAAGGAGAUCAAAUGCAAGAACAUGCAAAUCACUUGGACAAAUGAGAGAGAAAACCCGACGAUGGUGAGCAUCGACAAGGUGUUUGCAACACAAAAUGGGACAACCUCUUACCCUCGCACAUUCUCAUGGCAUACUGAAGAUCAAGUUGUAGAGAACAGCCCAUGA